rnacentral:rRNA from 4 species
CCUGGCGGCCGUAGCGCGGUGGUCCCACCUGACCCCAUGCCGAACUCAGAAGUGAAACGCCGUAGCGCCGAUGGUAGUGUGGGGUCUCCCCAUGCGAGAGUAGGGAA